rnacentral:rRNA from 1 species
UACUCCUACGGGAGGCAGCAGUGAGGAAUAUUGGUCAAUGGGCGCAAGCCUGAACCAGCCAUCCCGCGUGCAGGAAGACGGCGCUAUGCGUUGUAAACUGCUUUUCCAGGGAGAGAAACUUGCGCACGUGUGCGCAAUGAC